GAUGAAACGCUGGCGGCGUGCUUAACACAUGCAAGUCGAACGAAGCACGAGGUAGCAAUACUUUGGUGGCGACCGGCGCACGGGCGCGUAACGCGUAUGCAACCUACCUUUAACAGGGGCAUAACACUGAGAAAUUGGUACUAAUUCCCCAUAACAUUCGAGAAGGCAUCUUCUUGGGUUAAAAACUCCGGUGGUUAAAGAUGGGCAUGCGUUGUAUUAGCUAGUUGGUGAGGUAACGGCUCACCAAGGCAACGAUACAUAGGGGGACUGAGAGGUUAACCCCCACAUUGGUACUGAGACACGGACCAAACUCCUACGGGAGGCAGCAGUGAGGAAUAUUGGUCAAUGGACGCAAGUCUGAGCCAGCCAUGCCGCGUGCAGGAAGACGGCUCUAUGAAGUUGUAAACUGCUUUUGUACUAGGGUAAACGCUUCUACGUGUAGGAGCCUGAAAGUAUAGUACGAAUAAGGAUCGGCUAACUCCGUGACAGCAGCCGCCGU
rnacentral:rRNA from 1 species